rnacentral:rRNA from 1 species
GGAUUAGAUACCCUGGUAGUCCACGCCGUAAACGAUGAUCACUAGCUAUUGGCGAUACACUGUCAGUGGCAAAGCGAAAGUGUUAAGUGAUCCACCUGGGGAGUACGAUCGCAAGGUUGAAACUCAAAGGAAUUGACGGGGGCCCGCACAAGCGGUGGAGCAUGUGGUUUAAUUCGAUGAUACGCGAGGAACCUUACCAGGGCUUAAAUGCAUAAUGACGGAUUGGGAAACCAGUCUUUCUUCGGACAUCAUGCAAGGUGCUGCAUGGCUGUCGUCAGCUCGUGUUG